UAUAAAUUAGUUUAAUUGAACAUUAGUUUUUGUAGCUAAAAGAAGUAGUAUUUAAUUCUAUUAUUUAUAA
rnacentral:tRNA from 1 species